UACAGAGGUGGCAAGCGUUGUUCGGAAUUACUGGGCGUAAAGGGCGCGUAGGCGGCCUUCUAAGUCAGACGUGAAAUCCCCCGGCUUAACCUGGGAACUGCGUCUGAUACUGGGAGGCUAGAGUAUGGGAGAGGGAUGUAGAAUUCCAGGUGUAGCGGUGAAAUGCGUAGAUAUCUGGAGGAAUACCGGUGGCGAAGGCGGCAUCCUGGACCAGUACUGACGCUGAGGCGCGAAAGCGAGGGGAGCAAACGGG
rnacentral:rRNA from 1 species